AUGAACGCUGGCGGCGUGCUUAACACAUGCAAGUCGAACGAUUAAGACGGCUUCGGCCGUGUAUAGAGUGGCGAACGGGUGAGUAACACGUGACCAACCUGCCCCGCGCUCCGGGACAACCGCUGGAAACGGCGGCUAAUACCGGAUGCUCCGGGGAGGCCCCAUGGCCUCCCCGGGAAAGCCUUGACGGCGCGGGAUGGGGUCGCGGCCCAUUAGGUAGACGGCGGGGUAACGGCCCACCGUGCCCGCGAUGGGUAGCCGGACUGAGAGGUCGACCGGCCACAUUGGGACUGAGAUACGGCCCAGACUCCUACGGGAGGCAGCAGUGGGGAAUUUUGCGCAAUGGGGGGAACCCUGACGCAGCAACGCCGCGUGCGGGACGAAGGCCUUCGGGUUGUAAACCGCUUUCAGCAGGGAAGACAUAGACGGUACCUGCAGAAGAAGCUCCGGCUAACUACGUGCCAGCAGCCGCGGUAAUACGUAGGGGGCGAGCGUUAUCCGGAUUCAUUGGGCGUAAAGCGCGCGUAGGCGGCCGCCUAAGCGGAACCUCUAAUCCCGGGGCUCAACCUCGGGCCGGGUUCCGGACUGGGCGGCUCGAGUGCGGUAGAGGCAGGCGGAAUUCCCGGUGUAGCGGUGGAAUGCGCAGAUAUCGGGAAGAACACCGAUGGCGAAGGCAGCCUGCUGGGCCGCCACUGACGCUGAGGCGCGAAAGCUGGGGGAGCGAACAGGAUUAGAUACCCUGGUAGUCCCAGCCGUAAACGAUGGACGCUAGGUGUGGGGGGACCAUCCCCCCGUGCCGCAGCCAACGCAUUAAGCGUCCCGCCUGGGGAGUACGGCCGCAGAGCUAAAACGCAAAGGAAUGGACGGGGGCCCGCACAAGCAGCGGAGCAUGUGGCUUAAUUCGAAGCAACGCGAAGAACCUUACCAGGGCUUGACAUCCUACUAACGAAGUAGAGAUACAUCAGGUGCCCUUCGGGGAAAGUAGAGACAGGUGGUGCAUGGUUGUCGUCAGCUCGUGUCGUGAGAUGUUGGGUUAAGUCCCGCAACGAGCGCAACCCCCGUCCCGUGUUGCCAGCAUUGAGUUGGGGACUCGCGGGAGACUGCCGGCGUCAAGCCGGAGGAAGGUGGGGACGACGUCAAGUCAUCAUGCCCCUUAUGCCCUGGGCUGCACACGUGCUACAAUGGCCGGUACAGAGGGUUGCCACCCCGCGAGGGGGAGCGGAUCCCGGAAAGCCGGUCCCAGUUCGGAUCGCAGGCUGCAACCCGCCUGCGUGAAGUCGGAGUUGCUAGUAAUCGCGGAUCAGCAUGCCGCGGUGAAUACGUUCCCGGGCCUUGUACACACCGCCCGUCACACCACCCGAGUCGUCUGCACCCGAAGCCGCCGGCCGAACCCUUCUGGGGCGGAGGCGUCGAAGGUGUGGAGGGUAAGGGGGGUG
rnacentral:rRNA from 1 species